UGCUGAUACAGCACGCCUGCCUUCAGGGAUCGUUGAGGAAAUAACUUUCAGUAGCUUGACGAAGCUGAAAGAGUACAGACGCUUUUAAAAAACACAAAAAACUAAAAUUGAAAUCAAGAUGAGUGACCGACGAUUGGACAACUGGAAUGGAGGCCAGGGCCACCAAUACCAAUACCAGCAGACGACCUAUUCCAACCAAGUGGCUAAUCCGAGUCGGGCAACCUCUAGGCAGAUUCAAGCCAACAAUCGUAGGGCCGUUGUCGAAGUGGAGCAAAUCACUCGUGCGUUGUCCAACAACGCCCCACCCAACAGUGUCACUUACAACUACAUCAACAUCAACCACAGAUAUGCAAAGAAGUAAUAUCUACUCGGAGUGCAACUUGAUGUUCUAUUUUCCUUAACUCGUUUCUAUUUCCAAGUUGCAUUUAAAAUAAAUAAAAAGAAACGAAACUAAAAAUA